rnacentral:rRNA from 1 species
UCUCGGUCCUUGUACCACCGCCCGUCACACCAUGAGAGUUUGUAACACCCAAAGUCGGUGGGGUAUCCUUUUAGGAGCCAGCCGCCUAAGGUGGGACAGAUGAUUAGGGUGAAGUCGUAACAAGGUAGCCGUAGGAGAACCUGCGGCUGGAUCACCUCCUU